AACGCGAAGAACCUUACCAGGCCUUGACAUCCUCCUGACACGGCAUGUAAUGUGCCAUUCCUUCGGGACAGGGGAGACAGGUGGUGCAUGGUUGUCGUCAGCUCGUGUCGUGAGAUGUUGGGUUAAGUCCCGCAACGAGCGCAACCCCUGCCCUUAGUAGCCAGCGCGUAAAGGCGGGCACUCUAGGGGGACUGCCGGGGAGGACCCGGAGGAAGGCGGGGAUGACGUCAAAUCAUCAUGCCCCUUAUGGCCUGGGCUACACACGUGCUACAAUGGCGUAACAGAGGGAGGCGAAGCCGCGAGGCGGAGCGAACCCCAAAAAUAACGUCCCAGUUCGGACUGCAGCCUGCAACCCGGCUGCACGAAGCUGGAAUCGCUAGUAAUCGCGGAUCAGAAUGCCGCGGUGAAUACGUUCCCGGGUCUUGUACACACCGA
rnacentral:rRNA from 1 species